GUGGGGAAUAUUGGACAAUGGGCGAAAGCCUGAUCCAGCCAUGCCGCGUGUGUGAAGAAGGUCUUCGGAUUGUAAAGCACUUUAAGUUGGGAGGAAGGGCAGUAAGUUAAUACCUUGCUGUUUUGACGUUACCGACAGAAUAAGCACCGGCUAACUUCGUGCCAGCAGCCGCGGUAAUACGAAGGGUGCAAGCGUUAAUCGGAAUUACUGGGCGUAAAGCGCGCGUAGGUGGUUUUGUAAGUUGGAGGUGAAAUCCCCGGGCUCAACCUGGGAACUGACUCCAAACAUACUGAGCUAGAGUACGGUAGAGGGUAGUGGAAUUUCCUGUGUAGCGGUGAAAUGCGUAGAUAUAGGAAGGAACACCAGUGGCGAAGGCGACUACCUGGACUGAUACUGACACUGAGGUGCGAAAGCGUGGGGAGCAAACAGGAUUAGAUACCCGGGUAGUCC
rnacentral:rRNA from 1 species